CAAACAAGCAGCGGACAAUGUGCAGACUAUUCUAUUACACAGAUCGAUAUCCCUGUAUCGACGAGGGCGUUUAGAACCCACUGUUGUCUUUUGUCAGUCCAAAUUGGACCGACGCUUUACUGGAAUUACCACCUUAUUGAACGUCUUGGAAACUACUGGGAAUUAAGAGGAAUUGGAUACAACGGGCGCUUUUUGUUAGCUCACCUCUGUAUGCCUGAUUCAACGAAAGUGAAUUGCGUGGAAGAACCCCCUCUCUCCCUACUGCUUUGUUACACAGACCCGCUGGUAGUGGUGUAGCGAGUUGGGAAAUAGUCACACGCUCUCUCGCAGAGUUUCGGCGUACACUUCAUUUCGGUGUCUCGCUGUAUAUAAUCUGGUGUAUCGUUUAGUUGGAAGUUUAACCUUAGAUUUGGAUGUGAAUGUCACGACUUCUUCUUGGAUGCUCUUUUACUGAUGAUGUCAACAAAUCUCAAUAUCGCUCCUUGACUGACCUCCGUGGAUGAACGUUCUUCGCCUACGCAGCUUGUAACCGAGGCCUGGGAACUUUUCACCGCAUUUAGCUUUCCUGAUAUUGCCCGAACACAGUGCGAGGGUGCAGAGCAGUGAGGCCGAGGAGAAAGAGAGGGAGCGAGAGGAGUCGGUCCAAACCAGACUUGGAGACCAGUCGUUAGCAUGGAUUUAUUAUAUUAUAUGACAGUCUCAUUACUUGGUUUUAUACUGAGUCUAACCACUUUCAUCGGAGAAACGACCAGAGCGCUUUCAGAUGAUGUUUCAAGUCCGUGCAAAGCUUCCGGUUUCCUGGGCGACAUAGCUCUAACAGAAGAUGAUUAUGAGAGGGAAAUGAUCAGAGCGAGGCACAAUAGGGAACAGUAUCGAAGAAGGAUAUUACAAGAAAGACAUACCAGGACCACAGGUGCACGUCAUCAUAUUAAAAAGAGAACGAUAGAAGAAGCAAAGGUGAGACAUGUUCGUGCUGUAACAGCUAGACCAGAAAGGAGAUGGACAGACGCUGUAAUACCUUACGAAAUCGAUGGCAACUUUACAGGAUCGCAGCGGGCGAUGUUUAAACAGGCGAUGAGGCACUGGGAGAACUAUACCUGUAUUACAUUUGUUGAGAGAAAUCCUGCGAACAGUGAGCAUGACAACCAUAUAGUCUUCACUUACCAGGCGUGCGGCUGCUGUUCGUUUGUCGGGCGAAAAGGUGACGGUGCCCAGGCCGUGUCUGUCGGCAAGAACUGCGACAAGUUUGGCGUGGUCGUCCACGAACUGGGACACGUGGUGGGAUUCUGGCACGAGCACACCCGUCCUGAUCGUAACGAGUUCGUAGGCAUCGUACACCAGAACAUCGUACCAGGUCAAGAGUACAACUUCCGGGUUCUAGACGCGGCCGAGGUCGAUUCUCUUGGCGAGACGUACGACUUCGCCAGCAUCAUGCAUUACGCGCGGAACACUUUCUCACGAGGUAUUUGGCUGGAUACUAUCCUACCUAGGAAAGAUCCGGAAUCCGGUAUUCGACCCGAGAUCGGACAGAGGAAGCACCUGAGUGAAGGCGAUAUCAUUCAAGCCAACUUGCUUUAUAAAUGCCCGUCAUGUGGCCGGACACUUCUGGAGUCCACCGGCAACUUCAGUUCGCCCGAGUGGCCUGGGCAGUAUGACGGUGAUCAGACGUGUGUUUGGCGCAUCUCCGUUACCCCCGGUGAGACCAUCAGUCUUCAGUUCACGGGCUUCGAGCUGGUCGGUAGCGAUGGGUGCUGGUAUAACUACUUAGAGGUCCGAGACGGUCAUUGGAGACAUUCUCCACUCCUUGGUCGGUUUUGCGGAGCAUCCUUACCCGAUCCGAUACUCUCGUCGGAUAGCCGGUUGUGGAUUGAAUUGAAAAGCUCGGCGCAUAGAUACAGCAGAGGUUUCGCCGCGAACUACGAAGCGAUCUGCGGCGGUCACAUCGAGCGGGAAUCGGGAACACUCCAGAGCCCGAACUACCCCGAUGAUUACCAUCCUAGCAAGGAGUGUGUGUGGCUCAUCACCAUGCCAGCGAACUACACGGUCGGACUCAGCUUCCAGUCGUUUGAGAUCGAACGACACGAGACGUGUAUCUAUGACUACGUAGAGGUUCGUGAUGGGCACGAAGACACUUCGCCGCUCAUCGGCCGCUACUGUGGCUAUUUCAUUCCUGAUGACAUCAAGUCCACUGGGAAUAAGAUGAUGGUCACAUUUGUGUCUGAUGGAUCCGUCAACAAAGGCGGGUUCUCCGCCGACUUCUUCAAAGAAAAGGAUGAAUGUGCGCAACCAGACCAGGGUGGAUGCAUGGAUGUCUGCGUGAAUACUAUCGGUAGCUACCGGUGUGACUGUCGCCCCGGAUAUGAGCUUAGCUCCGACGGUCGUAGAUGUGAAGUUGCCUGCGGAGGUUUAUUCACUGGUCUACGAGGGAAUAUCUCCAGCCCUUCUUAUCCCGAGCCCUAUCCGAGGGACAAGAACUGUGUCUGGCAGAUCGUCGCACCAUCUAACUACAGGAUCUCACUCCAGUUUAUCACCUUUGACCUCGAGGGUAACGAGGUGUGCAAGUACGACUACGUUGAUGUCCGUAGCGGUCUGAAUGAGGAAGGCACCCUCCACGGCAAGUUCUGCGGCAAUGAGAUUCCCGAGACGAUCACAUCCCGAUUCAACAAUCUCCGUAUCGACUUCCGAUCCGACAACACGGUCGCCAAAGAAGGUUUCUUCGCAAACUUCUUCGCUGAUGUGGAUGAGUGCGAAGAAGGCAAUGGUGGAUGUCAGCACAUCUGCACCAAUACACUGGGGAGCUACACGUGUUCAUGUCGCAAUGGGUUUACAGUGCAUGAGAACCUACACGGAUGCAAAGAGUCUGGUUGUAGGAGAGAGAUACAGUCGACCACGGGAAUCAUCACAAGUCCCAACUAUCCCGACAACUACCCGAAGCGUAAAGAGUGUACCUGGCAUAUCUCUGCAAACCCUGGACAUAAGAUUGUGUUGUCGUUCGAUGAUUUUGACUUGGAGCAGCACCAGGAGUGCACCUACGACCGUGUCCAAGUCUUUGACGGCGAUAGCGACGAGGGUCAGGUCCUAGGCCGGUACUGCGGGGCUACCAUCCCGGACGCAGUCGUAUCGAGCAGCAACCACAUGUUCAUACGUUUCUACUCCGACGCCUCCGUUUCGAGGAGUGGUUUCUCAGCCACUCAUUCUACGCGUAAGUUACGCCAGAAUGCGGUGGCCGGCUCGAGGCGGAACUCUCAGCCCAGCGACUCUACUCACAUGCCGAUUACGGAGACCAGAACUAUGAGAAUCAGGAGUCGUGCGAAUGGACUAUCGUCUCACCCGAUGACCAUUUCAUCCAUCUCUGGUUCCGAUCAUUCGACAUCGAACACGAGACCGAAUGCAACUACGACCAGGUGAUGAUCCUUGAUGGCGACAACCAUGCGGCAGAAUCUUUUGGAAAGUUUUGCGGUCAUCGAGCCCCCGACGAUAUAGUUUCAUCCGGUGAUUCUUUGAUGAUUACUUUCUCAUCUGAUGAUACUAUUAAUAAGAAGGGCUUCCUCGCAAUAUUCAAGCUAACUGAUGGAGAAUUACUAGAGGGUGCAGGCGAAGAAGAGGAAGAGAUAUAUUAUAACUGAGAAUAGAACCCGAGAGAUAAAGAAAACUUGAAUCUGGAGCUGUUUACCUCUGCUAACCAGCAUGUGUGAGAUAUAGAGUGCACUCGUAAUAUGAGAUAUUGUCAAAUGACUGACACUUAAAACCAGAAGAUUCCUUCAUAUUUUCUGAAGGGCAAAUUGAAUGUAUGGAUUGGAGUCACAUUCAAAUUCAGCUUGUAGACAGUGACCUUUAACCUUUUAAGAGAGCACCUCACCAUAUUCUUUCAGGGAUUAUUCUAAAGUGACUACCGGUAAUGACUUUUAAAAAUGCUCACUGCACAAUGCGACAAGAAGUGUGUUUUGAUUUAAGGAAUUAUGGAACCCUGAUUAUUUUUUUUUUAGAGAACUUAUAUUUUAGAGUUGUGUUCAGCAAAAUGCGACGAUAAAACGAAAUAAUUUGAUUGCAUGUCCAUGCUUAGAUUUAGAUGUAGACUUGCUUAUGUUUUGCGCAAUUAGUAACAUUAAAGUACUUCUGAGUUUCCAUGCUUGUGCUAUGUACAUGUGCUUAAUAGCUAACGAAAUAAUAAGGUAAUAUCUGUUCGAUCUCUCAGUUUGCCGAUAGAUGCUGCAAUUUUUUUCAGCAAGCCCCCCUCCAAAAAGAUCAUCAAUAUUUGGAAAAGGGCGACAGCGGAUAAAAAUCGACUAAGAAUUACAUAUUAGCUGAAAGACAAAACCAGCUUUUUGAGCGCUAAAAGUCGUUAUGCUGAUGUUGUAGUAUACAAUUUGUUCAUACAAUUUCAAUAUCUUAUGAGAGAUUUCGGAAAUGCCAUAAAUGUUGUAUAUUCCUCGUCAACCAAAGAAACUUAAUGAUGGUUACAAUAAGAACGUAAGGAAGAAACAUUGAUAACAGGAGAAAAGGGGAGAUGUUUGGACGGAGGUUUGUAAUUAUAAUUUCCAUGUUUACAUAUCUAUGCAAAGUCAGGAAAGCUACUAAUGGAACACAUUGUUCAUUGAAAUUAACCCUUUGAGAACCAAAUGUUGAUAGGAAGAGAGACCAUGUAAAAGGGUAAUUUUAGAUUGCGAUAUAAGAGGGUUAAAACAUACCUCUUUAUAUCGAAUUGAAACUUAGCGACGGCGGACUCUUGCUUGCCUCCGCUAUAAUUAUGACAUUUAUGUUCCUGAUGAAUUGAUCACUCUUUUCUGUCAUGUAAAAUGAACUGUAAAUACAAUGUACAUUUGAUUAUUUUGUAGGGUUUUAAUAAUUGUAUAGACAAGCUGGACAAUCAUUGUUGCCAUCACCAACCGAGUGUGCUAUUUAAUGAGAAAACAAAUACUUGGGAGUAUGAAUCUGACCGCAUAUUGUGGUCUAAAGAUCGUCAUAUAAAUAGGAGGCGAACUGCCAUGACUUUAUACCCUGUACAUUCUUUUCGACGCAGUUUCAUCAUGAAUUGGAUAUUCUUAUUUGUACAGCUUAUGGCCAAAUUUUAAAUGUAUCCUUCCAGUAAAACCAUUCUCUCUUGAAUCUUUUUUUUUUCUUUUAAAAAUAAAUCUAACACAACAUUA